ACUGAACGCUGGCGGCAGGCUUAACACAUGCAAGUCGAGCGGAGCGAGGGUGCUUGCACCUUAGCUUAGCGGCGGACGGGUGAGUAAUGCUUAGGAAUCUGCCUACUAGUGGGGGACAACAUUCCGAAAGGAAUGCUAAUACCGCAUACGCCCUACGGGGGAAAGCAGGGGAUCUUCGGACCUUGCGCUAAUAGAUGAGCCUAAGUCGGAUUAGCUAGUUGGUGGGGUAAAGGCCUACCAAGGCGACGAUCUGUAGCGGGUCUGAGAGGAUGAUCCGCCACACUGGGACUGAGAAACGGCCCAGACUCCUACGGGAGGCAGCAGUGGGGAAUAGUGGAAAAUGGGCGGAAGCCUGAUCCAGCCAUGACGCGUGUGUGAAGAAGGCCUUUUGGUUGUAAAGCACUUUAAGCGAGGAGGAGGCUACUCUGAUUAAUACUCAGGGAUAGUGGACGUUACUCGCAGAAUAAGCACCGGCUAACUCUGUGCCAGCCGCCGCCGUAAGAC
rnacentral:rRNA from 1 species